rnacentral:rRNA from 1 species
ACUCCUACGGGAGGCAGCAGUGGGGAAUAUUGGACAAUGGGCGAAAGCCUGAUCCAGCCAUGCCGCGUGUGUGAAGAAGGCCCUCGGGUUGUAAAGCACUUUCAGUGAGGAAGAACGCUUGUGGGUUAAUACCCUGCAAGAGAGACAUCACUCACAGAAGAAGCACCGGCUAACUCCGUGCCAGCAGCCGCGGUAAUACGGAGGGUGCGAGCGUUAAUCGGAAUUACUGGGCGUAAAGCGCGCGUAGGCGGCUUGAUAAGCCGGUUGUGAAAGCCCGGCUGCAACCUGGGAACGGCAUCCGGAACUGUCAGGCUAGAGUGCAGGAGAGGAAGGUAGAAUUCCCGGUGUAGCGGUGAAAUGCGUAGAGAUCGGGAGGAAUACCAGUGGCGAAGGCGGCCUUCUGGACUGACACUGACGCUGAGGUGCGAAAGCGUGGGUAGCAAACAGGAUUAGAUACCCUGGUAGACUGUCAU